rnacentral:rRNA from 1 species
CCCUUAGAUGUUCUGGGCCGCACGCGCGCUACAAUGGCAGACUCAGCGAGUUACCUCUGUCGAAAGGCACAGGGAAUCUUUACAGUAUCUGCCGUGAUGGGGAUAGACCCUUGUAAUUUUUGGUCUUCAACGAGGAAUUCCUAGUAAACGCAGGUCAUUAACUUGCAUUGAUUACGUCCCUGCCCUUUGUACACACCGCCCGUCGCACCUACCGAUUGAAUGGUCCGGUGAAGUCCUCGGACCCAGUUGAACCUCGAGUUGAACAGGGAAAGUUGACUAAAUCUUACCAUUUAGAGGAAGGUGAAGUCGUAACA